rnacentral:tRNA from 1 species
GGACCUUUAGCUCAGUGGCAGAGCGGGCGACUGCAGAUCGCCAGGUCGUUGGUUCAACUCCGACAGGGUCCU